UCCCCUCCGUCGCGGGUGCCUCCCAUCUCGUGCACCCCCGCCGCUCCUCCCCACCACACGCGAGGAGGGCGGCGCCGCUGCCCCUGCCUCGCCGGUUGUACCCCCAUCCUCUCUGUGCGGAUCUGCCUCCGAGGUAGCCCUUCUCUUGGAUUAUCUCCCCUGGAAAAAAUUACAUCAGUUCGAGAGGCAAUUAACGAUGGAUACGAUCCAGCAUUUAACCCUGUUUUCUUCAGAUCUCUACCAAAGGACUGGGCUUUUGCUUGUAGUGUGUACGAUGAUGAGCACCUGGUGGAAGUUAGAACCUUACAUUUUGUAGUAUAUUUCAGAUGCAUAGAUAGAUUCUUCGAUGCUUCCUAGGCCUAUACUGUUAUGUUUGGCUUGAAUAUCUCUAGUUUGUAUUUUUGCUGCUGGGUGCUAAUUUUAGCUCCUGAACCAUUGGCAGUGGUCUGUGGUGGUCUGCAUGUGCUAGUGAUACUAAGCAUCCUAUCUAAAUUUAACCUUAGGUUGUACAUUUGUUAAUUUUUGAGUUUGGCUUCGUAUUUUUCUAUAUGCAUUUAGCCUCCACUGAAUCUUUGAGUUCCAGUUUCAUUGUGUCAAUGCAACCUUAUUCCAAAUACCAUCGUUCCCAGAGAAUCCAAAUUUCAGUUAGUUCAUGUCAACGUGGCCUUAUCAGCAUGAUUCGACCAUGAAUCCAUGAUAUUAUCUAGUGCAGCCAAUGGGUUACUCGCGGUACCGAUUGCUCUUAUGAAAUGGACAGUGCCACAUGCAAAUGAACUGAAACAUUUUAUUUUAUUUUAUUUUAUUUUAUUUUGCGGGUACUUUGAGUCUUGACCAUCCCAGGUCUGAACCCUACAACACAGCACAACACUGGUAUAGUGCAUGCAUCCUGUUAAUGUUGCAUCCUGUUAAUGCGGAAGGUUUCAUAUAUAGAUUGAUAAUCCACGUGACUUUGACUGAAUUGUUAAGUUAGUAUAUACUUGACCGUCUCCGUCUGGCGCCCACACUCCCUCACACUACGCGUCUUCAUCCACUGGGAUGGACACGCGCUAGGCAUUUUACGUAGUAUACAUCUAUGGUGAGCCAGUCAGUAAUCGUGGCCGAGUCAUUGAUACUCACCUAGCAGCCACUUGUUGGCCACUUGAUUUAGAGUUUCAAACCAUAUAACCCCAAGUCUACUUUCAUCAUAGAAAUGAAAGAUAAACGGAUGAGGUCGAUGGAGUGAGCAAGUAACCAUGUGGUAUCUCUUCUGUUCUGUUUUGUUUCUUCUUGCUUAAGACAUGCUUCCUCUUGCUUAAGACAUGCUGGAUCUUCGCUUAUACUUCAAAAAAUUGAACGAAUCAUGCAUGCAUGUAAACAGAAAUCAUGAUGUAAAUUUUCUAAUCUGAAUUCUGAAUUUGAAUCAGAGUUGAUUGUUAACUCUGAAUCUUUCAGACCUCAUGGGUUACUCCCAAGUAAGUGUGAAGCCACAGUACGUGUUUAAAAAUCUUACAGGUGCCAAGUUAACUUGAAUCAGAGCAGAAAGCUAACAACAACCUUACAACAAAGUUUUUUAAAUGAUACUGCCGAUCUGUUGUCUUUCUACUGGUACUGGACUACUGGUAGAGAAAAAUGUGCAUAAAGGCCCUGUUCAUGUGAUUGACCAAAUUUCCCACAAGUUUUAAUGCUCACAGAUUUUAGUUGGCUCUGUCCAUUCUUUUCAAAAUGUGCAUACAUGCCCUGCUCACAUGUCCUUUUCCCUGCUGCCUCGAUUAGGUUGAUUACCUUAGUUUUUUUAAUGCUAUUUUAUAUAGCAUCAGAACAACCUAAUAUUCUAAGGAUGCCUCACUUUGAAAGGUAUUCCAUCAUCCGGAGGACUCUGCAUCAUAUAUGAUAUUGUUUAGUUAGAUGGACUCUGCAUCAUCCUAGAACACCACGGUCUCUGUUCGUGGUAUGCGUGCAUUAGAAACACAAUAUGUCUGUAUGUAAUCUAACUUGCAGUGUGUGUGUGGCAUGCAGGGAGGUGGUGAUCAGGUGAACAACAUAUGCCUGGAAGACCUCUGGCACAAUGGCGGUGUGCAUGCAACGUCCUGUUGCAUUCUACGUUGCAUUCUACUGGUACUGUCUGUCGUCUCGUGUCAGCGUCUCAUUAUCGUGUACAAUCUAAAUGAGUAAUUCGGAGUCGCUUGUGUUUGAUUUCAGUUCAUAAUUUUGUGAUAUGCUCUUGAUCUUGUUCUGUUCCAUACUAGGGAGCUUCUUCUCCUCUCAUGUUGUUGCUGUCGAUUUGGUACUAGCUAGAAUGAUUCCUUGAGCUUGAUGAUGACAGAUUGUACACUGUCUUGCUCCAGUGUUGCAUAAUUGUUAUCACAGUACACACAUACCUUGUUGUUGUCCAUGGAUCUUGUUCUCUGCUGCCAGCAAUGACUGGUUGUAGUUGUUUCGGCAGAUCACAUCACUUUCACAUGGGCGCAUGUGUAGCACUGACUGGUUGUACACACAUAAUGUUGGCUGGUUGUCCACACAUAAUGUUGACUGGCUAUAGUAGUUGUUGACUGGUUGUACACACAUAAUGUUGGCUGUUAUGUAUUGAUUUUAGUAUCGAAAAUGGCUCAAACCUGAAGUACUUAAAAUAGAUUGUCGUUCCUUUCUUGUUUGUUUUGAUACCCAUAUACCCAUAAAUCAGGGGGAAAUUAUUGCCUGGAUAGGUGUUUUCUUUUGUGAAGUUAGUGGAUGUUGAUCAAGUCCCCCUUUCCGCUGUAUGAAACGUUUCUCCUGUUGUACUUAAAAAGCUUUCCGCUGAUGGCAGGAAGAAGAAGGCUGUUCACAAGAAGAUGGCAGGAAGAAGCAGGCUGAUUCAAUUCGAUCCUCAAG
rnacentral:lncRNA from 1 species